ACUGGAGCUAAGAAACACAAACACACAUUCAAUAGAAAAGAUAAAUAACAAGCUGAACACUUAUUAUAAUGUGACAGAAUCUAAUCUGAGAAUUUUCCUUUCGAAGCACUGCAUUUUUUCAAAUAAUAAUUUUUUUAAUUUUAAAUCAUUCAUAAAUACACCAGAAUUUUCUGCAAAUUGCUGGAAACUGUCACUUUAUUAGAAAUUCCCCUCAGUGCAUCACUCAGUAUCAUGAUUUCUGCUUUCUGUACAGUUUCCUAUGUGCUUGUUUGGUUUCAGAAUUAACUCCGCCCCUGACAUGUGAUUGGCUGAUUCCCCUGACACGUUCACUUGGUCCAUUAAACCAAACUAUAUGAGCAUCAGUCUGAAUUCCAGUAAUCCCAGUAUGGAGAGUUAUAGUGGUUCCUUCCACUUCCUGCAGUGUGACCAUCUCAUCUCCAGCUGCACUCAGUAAACCUGCAUCACAGCUUCAGCACAUCAGAGAGAGAAAAGUACGGAGAAUCCUGUUUCCUGCUGAAAUAUUCACACCAUUGUUAUACUCCAUAGUGCGUGUUUCUCAGAUCAACAUUUUCCCGUUUUUCCUGAACAUCAGUGACACUGAAGAAUUCCAUAAACACUGCAGAUUAGCGCCAUGAUGAAGGUUUCUGUUCUACACAAGUUUCCGAUGCCGUGAGCUUCUCGUCUUCUGUGGCUCACAUCCAGAAAACCACUGGAGCUCCGCCUGUAGCAGUGUUCAGUCUGUAAACACUCACUACAUGCCUGUGUAGAUACUCAGAUCCUGAAAUCUCACCAUUUUACUCAUCAUUUAUCAUCUCAUAAUCAUUUUACUAUUAUUUACAGUUCAGUGUAAAAGAAGUGUAUAUUUAGUGAAAAGAAGAGUGUAGAAAAAAACCCUGGCAUUGCCAUGCGAUUAUCUGAUGUCACGUGACUCCACCUCCAACAUCCUGAACAUGUGGUUACUCCCAGUGUUCCAGCUGAACAUUGUUGUGUACAGUAUAAACACAGCAGCAUUUUUACUGUACUGUAGAUAAAUGUGUGGUAUUUCAUUCUAAUGUCCUGAUGGUCAGGAAUCUGUCAGUAUUUAUUCUGUGGAUUCUGUUGUAGGAAGUUCAGCACUGGACUGGUCUCCUGUCUACAUUUCAGCAUAAGUUUGUACACCCUCAGGUAGACGUUACAGUACAUGCAGGUAACAUGUUUCACUUCAGUCUGUAUUUAUAAGCAGAAAUUUACAUUUAAUAAAAAGCUUUGAAUAUAAA